rnacentral:rRNA from 1 species
AUGGGGUGCGCGCACGGCAAGUGCUGCCUGCCGCGGGGCGACGGCGGGGGGCGGCGGGAAGGCGGCGGCGUGCCGGGCGGCCGCGGCGGCUCCACCCUCGGCCGCGCCGCGGUGCCGGGCGCGGGCCUCGCGCUGGAGUACGCCACGCUGACGGUCGACGGCCUCUACCCGGACUCCCCGGGCCGGGAGACGCAGGACGCGUACCUGGUGGCCACGCGCUUCGCGGGGGACCCCGAUCUCCACCUCUUCGCGGUCUUCGACGGCCACGGCGCCUGCGGGGCCGCCUGCUCCGGGUUCGCGCGGGACGCGCUCCCGCGCCUCCUCCUCCUCGCGGCCGAGGACGACGGCGCCGGCGGGAGCCUCCUCAGCACGGACCCCGCGGGGGCGUUCCGGGCGGCGAUGAUUGGGGUCAACGAGGAGAUGCACGCGGCGCCGGCCGUGGACGACUCCAUGAGCGGGACCACCGCCGUGGCCGCGCUCGUGGCCGGCGGCGCGCUCCACGUGGCCAACGUCGGGGACUCGCGCGCCGUGGCCGGGGUCUGGCGCGACGGCCGCGUCGCCGCCGAGGAGCUGUCGUGGGACCAGACGCCGUUCCGCGCCGACGAGCGCGCGCGCGUCAAGGCCUGCGGCGCGCGGGUCAUGUCCGUCGAGCAGGUGGAGGGCGUGCGCGACCCGGACGCGGAGGGCUGGCUCGCCGACGAGGGGGACCCGCCUCGCGUCUGGGCCCGCGACGGGCUCUACCCGGGCACGGCCUUCACGCGCAGCCUCGGCGACCUCGCCGCCGAGGGCGUCGGGGUCAUCGCCGACCCUGAGGUGAAGACCGUGGAGAUCACCCCGGCCCACCUCUUCUUCGUCGUCGCAAGCGAUGGCGUCUUCGAGUUCCUCUCCAGCCAGGAAGUCGUCGACAUGGUGGCUAUGCAUCAAGACCCUCGAGAUGCUUGCGCAGCAAUCGCUGCAGAGUCAUACAAACUAUGGCUAGAGCAUGAAAACAGGACAGAUGAUAUAACAAUAAUCAUUGUGCAUAUCCGGGAUGCUCAAAAUUCAGGUCCUGCAGGGAGUGACAAAGAGAACUCCAGCAGCACCGGGGCGUCGAUAGCAUUGCACACGGUACAGCCAGAACUACCUGUAUUUGUACCGUCGGAGCUACCUGUAUUUGUACCGUCAGAAGCAAGUCACCUGAACGGAGUGGCUGCUGCUGAACUGCGGCGGCCAUCCUCUUCUGGCUCUCCAUCGGAACGACGCCUCUCAUGUGUCGCUCCUUCGCCUACACACCCUUUAUUGGAAGACGGCAAAGCAUUGGAAGCUUCCAGGUCGACCCAGAUCGACAUUGCCAUAUCCCAGCCAGUGGAAGCUUGGCAUCCAAGGGAAGGUGGUAACAAGCUAGAGCGAGCAGUCUCCUGCUGA